CUACGGGAGGCUGCAGUGAGGAAUUUUGCGCAAUGGGGGAAACCCUGAUGCAGCCAUGCCGCGUGUAUGAAGAAGGCCUUCGGGUUGUAAAGUACUUUCAGCGGGGAGGAAGGGAGUAAAGUUAAUACCUUUGCUCAUUGACGUUACCCGCAGAAGAAGCACCGGCUAACUCCGUGCCAGCAGCCGCGGUAAUACGGAGGGUGCAAGCGUUAAUCGGAAUUACUGGGCGUAAAGCGCACGCAGGCGGUUUGUUAAGUCAGAUGUGAAAUCCCCGGGCUCAACCUGGGAACUGCAUCUGAUACUGGCAAGCUUGAGUCUCGUAGAGGGGGGUAGAAUUCCAGGUGUAGCGGUGAAAUGCGUAGAGAUCUGGAGGAAUACCGGUGGCGAAGGCGGCCCCCUGGACGAAGACUGACGCUCAGGUGCGAAAGCGUGGGGAGCAAACAGGAUUAGAUACCCCCGUAGUC
rnacentral:rRNA from 1 species